rnacentral:rRNA from 15 species
UGUUGCAGUUAAAAAGCUCGUAGUUGAACCUUGGGCCUGGCUGGCCGGUCCGCCUCACCGCGUGUACUGGUCCGGCCGGGCCUUUCCUUCUGGGGAACCUCAUGCCCUUCACUGGGCGUGUUGGGGAACCAGGACUUUUACUUUGAAAAAAUUAGAGUGUUCAAAGCAGGCCUUUGCUCGAAUACAUUAGCAUGGAAUAAUAGAAUAGGACGUGUGGUUCUAUUUUGUUGGUUUCUAGGACCGCCGUAAUGAUUAAUAGGGAUAGUCGGGGGCAUCAGUAUUCAAUCGUCAGAGGUGAAAUUCUUGGAUUGAUUGAAGACUAACUACUCCGAAAGCAUU